rnacentral:lncRNA from 1 species
UACCGAAUAAAUUUUUUUUUCUUUCUAUUCAUUUAUUCCCUGAAUCGCAACCUUUACAAUUCUUCUUUGUACUAGAAUCAUAUCUAUUCUCAUUUCAGAAUAAACAUUCUUUAUCCAUUCAACAUUUCAAACUACACAUAACUGCCAAUUACAUUUGACAAAAUUAUCAAUCAUAGAUUUAUACCAUUUCUAAUUCAAGGAAAUGUAUUCAUUUAGCACAUCAUUCAAUCUUCAUCAUCCGUAUAGCAAGUAAUAUUGCCUAACAUCAUUAACCUGCAAAAAGUUUGUGUUUGCAAGAUUGAGCUCGACAGCCCACCAAAUUUAACAGUCUAUCAUGUUUCACAUAGCACACAAUUCAAUAUGCACUAUAUUUCCUUUACUAUGUAUAUCCACAUGCAACAUAUAUUCUUUACUAUGCAUAUCCUACAUGCAUCAAUAAUUCCUUACAAAACAUACAUUUAUACAUUUUACAUUUCUAAUUUAUCGACUUACAUCAUACAACAUGUGCUAUCACAUAUCACAUAUAAAUUGAUUUCCAUAACCCAAUUAACUUAGUCAUAUUUUGACUUUAACAAUUCAUAAAGCAUGGUAUAUAACUCACCACAUAAUCAUAUUUAAUCCACAAACAUAAUAGAACUGGUAAACUUGCCUCGUUUGCUGACUAACUUUAUAGUUUAAAGCUUAACUUUUCUUCAUGAAUCCUACACAAUUAUAUUCACAUGUAUGAACAUAUUAGCCACGUAUCCAUGGCAUAUAACUUGUAUAGUUAUAUAUUAAAUAUCCACAUUGCCACAUCAAUAGCUUAUGUUUUUGUUUUUGAAAAACUUUUGUAUUCUUUUCAAAUCUUUUAUCCUUUUGCUUUCAUCACCACAUAUGUUAGCACAUAUUUGGUUCACUUUCAUAUAAUUAUCCUUUAAAAAGUAUAAUAAUUUGACGAAGGAAUCUAUAUCUGGAAUAACAAGGACAGGGCCUACUAAAAGCAUAAUUGAAGAUAAGAGGGAAUAUACUGGUUUGGAGUUCCAGUUGGAAUUAAUAGCAUAAAAGAUAGCCAUGAUACUAAGAAGUAUAGCAGCUUGAAGAUUUUUGGCACAGAAAAUCUCCACCCGCCCUUAUCAUCUUGUAAUUGAUAUUUAAUCAUGCAAGUAUGCAUGUCUCAAAGUAUUCUAAUCUUUGCUAUAAUUCCAUUACUGUGUCUUUGUGGUAAUAUUUAAGAACAAAUAUUUAAUGAAUACUUACUUUUUAGGCAUUUCAUAAAUCCAUUUUAUUUAUUUUUCCAACAAACCAUGCUUGAUAGAAAUCCCAUGUAAUUGCCUGUCAAAAUCCUACUUAGGAUCAAACAAUUGGAUCUACCUAACAUGAUUUCUUUUAAUUAAAUGAAACAGUAAUAACAACAAUUCCAAAUUCUAGUGCAUGUAGACCUUCAACAUCUGCCUGUACAUCCACUCAACCAACUUAUAUGGUUAACUUAUAGCUUCUAUAAUAAAUAUAGUUUCAUUCUCGUAUACUAACGCGUUAAAUACUUUCGUGUUUCAACAUGACGCCAAAACAGUCCCUCUAAGCAUUAACAGUCCCUUAUUGUCAAGCUAUGUCGGCAGCCAAGCCUUGCUUGGCCCUGUCGGGCUCAGCCGGGCUUGGUGUAGCCGGCCCCAAUUUUUGGACGCUCACCUUUGCUAACUUUUAUUUCCCGUAUCUUUGACUCAUUUGUUUUUGAAUUUUGGGCAUUAGAUAGGUGAUACACCCACCUGUCAUAGAAAAUAUUAGCUAACAAUGUGACUAUUUUAGAUGUGUUGACUGAGACUGAGUUCUACUACUGCUAUUCGCUACUUGCUACUGUCAAUGGGCAGCGCUCCUAGUCUUGCUCACCCCAUGCUCUGCCAUUUUAUAUCUCCCAUGACAUUGAUCCUUUAUACGUCAAGUUUUGGAUAUAAUAUGGGUGGUAUACCCACCUAUUUAAGUAAAAUAUUUGCUAAACAUUUUGGGUACUUUAAACAUGUCAAUUGAGAGCUUCAAAGGAGUCCCAGUCAACUGCUACAGAGCGUUGCUGCUGUACACUGCUGCUGCUGGGCAGCAGCCCUCUUCGCGAUGAGGCCACUUUGCGAUUUUGUAGUUUUUAAUUCAUAAGUUAGUUUGCCCUAAAUUUUGGAUAUGCUAUAAACACCAUAAGAGAAUAUAUUUAGAAAAUAUAAGCCACCCAUUUUAGACAUCAUAGGCAGCCCAAAACAGAACUUAAAAAUACCCAAUCAUAUCAGUUUUUAACUUUUUCCCAGCUUUACCCUCUCUCGCUAAAACAGUCAUAACUUUUUCGUUUCAAAAUAUUUUUGAGCGAUUCUUGAGCCCACGCGAAGCUAACUUCCGGGACUACAACUUUUAUUCUUUGACCUUUUCCCAAUUAUAAACACAGAAUUUCAGAAAUUCCGUGUAAAGGGACUGACCCGAGUUGGUUAGACAGUUUUGACGCGACUACUUUGAAUGGUCAUAACUCUUUGCUCCGUAGUCAGAAUUAGUCCGUUUUGAAAUCUAUGGAAAGCUUAUUCAAUGUACUAUAAUACCCCAAAAGCCCAGAAUUUUCUGGAAACUCUAGCUAGCCCCGAAUUUGUCCUUAGGGUCAGCAGUUCACAAUUUUUCGGUUUCUAACAUGUUUAUUUCGCGACCUUAUUACUUCUAGCUCAUAUACCAAAUUAGAACAAAUUUUAAAUAUGUUAUAUAUCGUAUAUGAGACUGUAUUUACAAGUUAUAAACUUCCCAUUUCGGAAUCUUUAAGCUGCUCAAAACAGUGGUCAAUAAUGACUUCACACACUUAUUUCCAUCUUUUCGUUUUGGUUUGAAAUUAAGUUUCAUUCUAAUCUAAUAUACUUAAACUCUCUAAUUAUCAUCAUACGUAAUAUAUAAGUUCAUCCCAAGCCUUGUUUUUGUCUAAUAUUCGAUUUUUAAUUAAAAUAGUCCAUUUAGAACUUUUAUCGAACAAGUGGUGUACGUUGUUUUGAAACCUUCUUUUCAUAGCCAUUUGUUUAUGCUACAAUCCCAUUUUAACUCCCUUAUUUCUCCGCACAACCAACCUAAACUCCUUUGCUAUAUCUUAGUCAAUAGCAGUUCAUUUCACAAUUAAAAUUCACAUGAACUAUAAGUUUACUUACUAACCCACACAUAUAUAAGAACUUACAUAGCUUACCAACAUGUCUUACCUUCUUAAACAUAUCAUAUAUUAAAUUUCCAUAUGAUUUUACAACAUAUUAGCUUGGGAAUAUGACACUCGGGAGAGAGAGAGACAAGAAUUUUUUUGGGAAGGAAGUAAUGAAAGAGCUGAUAUGCUCUGCUUUUGAUUGAUCUUUGCUUAGAGUUUGGUUUAUAGGCUAAUAUGAGGGCAGCUCCUGCUAUCCCCAAAUGAUUCAUCUUGUUAUUGCACAACUUCUACUUCACCUGUUAACUGAUUCAACUUAUUUGUUAUAUAAAUCUCCCAGCUCAUGCUAGUUGUUCACUUUUCAAUUACUUGCUUCCAAGUAUACCCCAAAUACGUGUAUAUUAUAAUAUACUAAUAUAAUUCAUACAUUAUCCACUUAAAAUAUAAAGAUAUGAUAUAUUACACCAAAAUUUCCACAGAUGGAAAUAAUCAUUUAUUAUGAUAAUUUUUCUUGAUAUUAAAAUAAUUUCCUCUUUUAUCUUUUCUCUUUCUCUCUCUAAAUUUAGCCAAUUGGGUUAAAAAUGAAUAUAUGUAAAUUUUGAUUUUGCUUAUAUAAAAGUUACUUUCAAUUUCUUAUAAGUUGGUCACCCAACUUAAGUCUUCUCUAGUCUUCCCCUUCGUAUUUAAAAGCUUGCAAAUCACCCCCUGACAUAUUCUUAGCAUAUUCUCAGAAUAUUCUUUAUUCCUUAGCAUAUUCCUUAAGAUAUUCUCUUAAGUUUCAAAUAUUAGGUUUUUAACCCGGAGGUUUUCUUAACUCACACAAUUCUCCCUUAACUUUCAUAAUUCACUUCCAUACUUUAUUAAGUUAUUUAAUCACUCAAUCUUAGUAACUUAAUUUAAUCAAAUAAGUUACUACAUAAAUCUCCUUAAUUUAUUUUACCAUCUUGGAAUCAAAUAAUUUACAUAACCCAUCUUUGAUAUAUAAAUUAUAUAAAAUAUAACAUAACAUACUCAAAUUACAUAUUUAUUUUAUAAUUGUAAAAUAAAUAUGCUACACAUAAUUUCUUAUGUAAAUACAAUUAUUUACAUACCAAAGAUAUUAUAAUAUAGUAUCCUUACCUCAUUAUCAUAAAUUCAAUUAAGAAUUUAUUUACUUUCUUAAGAUAUUACGAUAAAAAAAUAUCUUUUCUUUAUUAAAAUAAUUCAACUCUAGAAUUUAUUUUAAUAUCAUUUAUUUAAAGUAUACAAUAAUUCUUGUAUACUAAUUACUUUCUUUUCCCUUCUAUAAAUUGUUUUCAACAAUUUAACUGUAAUAAAUAUAAUAAUAUACUUACUACAUUAAAAACAUACAUACAUACAUUACAUCCAAUAAUGUAAUACAUGAUUUCUUCAAUAAAAGGGUGGUUAUACAUUAAGUAUAUAUUUAAUGCCACCAAUUUACCACAUUAAAAUAAUUUAAUAUGAUAGAUUAUUUUAAUUCUACACAUUGUUGGAAAAUAUAGCAAUUAACAAGAUGAAUAAUAUAGUAAAUUAGAACAACUUAGCUGGAAAACCAAGGCGUAGCGUAGCUACUGUCCUAAAAAGUGAUUUCGCCCCCACUGAUAAUAAUCACAGUACAUAUGGGCUGCCGGCGAUCACUCUCCAGGAUUCAACGUCGAAGUCUCCGAUCGUGUGUACUCACAAAAGGAGGCUUUGGACUUGUCUAUGUGGAUUCCCAAUUAACAGAAUAUAUAUUUGUGUAAGGAAGAAUAGAACAGAAUAGACUGUAUAGCGAUUUCUCACGUGUAAUUCUUGUCGAUCAGCAUAUACAUAGCUUGAUCUGUUGUAGAUGUAGAUGCUUGCUUAUUUUCUCAACUCAACUAGCGGUUUUCUUCACUAACUUAAUUGGGCUCCAAAGAAAACCCAAAAGUGAUAAUGAGAAAGGAGUAUUACUUUACAAGCAAAACUAGGCCUAUUUAAUUGUAUUAGAAAAGCAGUUAUCAGUAGCUGAAGAGAGAGAAAACACGAUAAUGAUAUAUUGGUAUUCUACUAAGAAGAAUAAUUAUAAGAACGAUUAUUAGAACGUUAUUGCUUACGCUAAAUAAAUGUUGCAACGGGGGUUACAGAAAACGGCUAGGAAAUUAACUCAGGGGUUACAGAAAAUACUAAUAUACACUAUGAGUGUUCCCAAAAUAGCUGAUAUGGGACUUUGAUAAAAACCAUAAUUUUGAAGCAUAACCAACAAUCCCCCACAUGAUUCAAAAUUAUCAAAGAUAGAAAAAUUAAAAGGAAGUGAGAAGGGCAAUGGAUUUUAGAUACAUAACAUCGAUACCUUGUGGGUUUGAAUCGACACUUAGUGGAACAAGCUCAUGACUGUAGAUUAUGAUUGAAUUAUAUUCUUGAACCCAUUAUCUUUGAUACAAUCAAUUGAACUUGCACACAUAUCAAAAAAUCAUGAAUCCACACAAGUCCGCGGUUGGGCGCGUUCUAGGCCAUGCGCCAUAUCCCAGAUUUUCAUAAAGGCUCUAGAGAGUUUGCCAAAGACUCUCAUAGAAAGCGGCCUACACUUCCACCUUUAUAUAGGUGAACCCAUCAAGUGUAUACUGACAUACACCACCCUUUAGGGCUAUGAGUUUCAUUAAGAAUCUAAAUGAUUCAUCCUAUCACAAUUUGUCAGUAAGCACCACAUGCACACAAGAAGGGAUAUAAAUAAUUGUAGUGCUAUAAUUAAGUAAUUACGUGACUUGUUGUUACCCAUUGAACCCAAUUCAUGGGAUCUCCAAUCACAUGGGUUGGGUUUCCAUCACGUAUUACUUACUUAAGAUGUUGGCAAUAGUCCCAUCCCUCUGGAUGCUUCUUGGACACUCUUUUUAAUUAAUCCCUUUGUAAGUGGAUCCGCUAGGCUCUUUUCAAACCUUACAAAUUCCAUGGAAAUAACAUUGUUUACUGAUCAGUCCUCAUUCAUAUUAUGUCUCAAGCGAAUUUCCCAUUAUACACAUGGUUCAUUCCUUAUCCAAUAGCAGCUUGAGAAUCACAAUGCAGAGAUAUAUAAGGAAUUAUUAUGUCUGCCAAUAAAUUUCUCAGCCACUCUGCUUUUGUACCUGUCCAUUCUAAUGCAAUAAAUUCAGAUUUCAUAGUAGAUUUAACAGUACAAGUUUGUUUAGCAAAUCUCCACGAAACAACUCAUCCACUUAAAGUAAACACAUAUCCACUUGUGGAGCUUGUUUCAUCAUUAGCAGAUACCCAAUUAGCAUCACAAUAUCCUUCAAAAACAUUAGGAUUAUCAGAAAAAUGUACAUUUACAUUAACUGUUCCUUUUAAAUACCUCAUUAGACGUGACAAUGCAUUCUAAUGAACUUGUGAAGGAUUAUGCGUAUAUCUGCUAAGUCUACUAAUGACAUAUUCAAUAUCAGGUCGAGUACAAUUCAUUAAGUACAUUACACUAUCAAUGAUUAUGGCAUCUUCAGUUUGUGCAAUAUCAAUCCCCUUUAUUUUUCUUUAAAUGCACACACUAGAGUCACAAGGUGUUCCUAAUGGCUCUUUAUUAAAAAAUUAAAUUUCUUAAGAAUUUCACAUAAUAAAAACAAACCAUGUGCAUUUUUUUAUUAAUUCUCAUGCCAAGAAUCAAGUUCAUUUUUUCAUGCCAAAUUUAGAAAAUAAAAAAUAUUUUAAUAGUUUUCACAACUAUUUCAUCAGUACCAAAUAUCAGCAAAUUAUCCACAUAUAAUCACAUCACAAUUUUCAUGUUUUGUAUCUCAUGCAUAUAUCACAUUUCUCAUGCUUCACAGUUUAUGUAUAAUUCAUAUUUUAUACAUGCGUCAUCUUUCUCAUAUUGUACAUUUAUACAUGUUUGACAUCUGAUACAUGCUCUAUAAUGCUCAUACUUAUCAUUUCUCAAAUUAUAUAGUUCACAUAUAACAAUUAACUUAAAUUAUCAACAGAUUAUUAAUAAUUAUUAUCACAUUGUUGCACGGAGUGCACAUUAAAAUAAUUCACAAAAAUUUCACAUAAUACUGAACAUUAGCACAUAACAACAAGUACUGAAAAACUUGCUUUAAAAUUAUCAAUAGACCGGUCAAUUAACUUUUAACUUCUUUUUAAACACCCAAUAGAUUUACUUCUUUUUAGGCAAAAUAACUAGCUCUCAUGUAUGAUUACUCAUACUGGAUAACAUCUUUUCAAAAGAUUGCAUCAAAUCAUUUUAUUGCUUCUUCAUAAGUUUUAGGGUUAUCUUCAGUUAUCAAAAGUCUAAAUGCAACACUGUUUGAAACAUAUCCAAUAAAAAUACAAACCAUUGUUUUAUGUCCAAUUUUAUUCCUUUUUAAAUUCUAGUAUAGCUACUUUAGCUAGACACCCCCACAUUUUAAGAUACCCCAAGUUAGUUGCAUGUUCCUUCCAUAAUUGACAUGGUAAAGAGUUUAUCCUUUUAUGUGGAACUCUAUUAAAAAUUGAUUAUUCAGAAAGGCAAGCUUCUCCCCACAUAUUGGAAGCUAAUUAACAUGACAUUCAUCAUAUCUUUAAGUGUUCGAUCUAUUUUUCCUUUCUAACUAAUUUUCAACCUCUAUUUUAUUUAAAAAACAUUUCUCCACUUCAUCUUUUAAAGACAAUGAGAUAGAUUUGAGUAUAUCUAGAAUUAUCAUCAUUGUUCACCAUCUUUGCCACAUGAACCAAAUUAACAUAAAAUAAUAGAACAUAAAAACAGAAGAAAGACUUCGUCAGGCUUAAGAAACACAAUCCAUAUAAAUGCUCAAUUAUUUACCAUUAAUCUUUCAGCUCAUAAGACGUGAAUUUAGGGAAUAAUUCAAUAAAAUUACUAAAACCUAAAUUACCCCACUAGGAACAAGGUACAUGUGUUAUUACAACAUGGUAAUUUAAUUCUAAGCACCAACAAUUAAUAUUUCAAAAAUAUUAAUAAAGGAAUUAAAUAACAGACAACAUUACUCAAUUAAUAUUCCAAGUAUGCUAUAAACACAUUAAAAUACUUCUAUAAAAUUUACAACAAUAUCUUAUCACCACCAAAGAUUACUGUAAUUUUCUGAAAUUUUUCUGAAGAUCAUGCAAAUUAUCAUAAUUAAUUAACUAUUGCAUAAUUAAAUUAGAUAUUAAAUAAAAUUAUCCAAAUAUAUUAAUUUUCCAAAACUUCAGUGGAAAUAUUAAUUUUAUGCCAAUAAUUAAUAUCAUUGACUGGAAAUAAAACUUCCAUCAAAUUCAAAAUUACUCAAUUCUCCACAAAUUGUAUCAAAAAAAAAAUUAUGUAUAGCAGCAACACCUAGCCCAUUACUAUCAUUUGGUAAGUAGGCUCAUAUUUUUAACUCUAAGCACAUUCAUAGAUUUCAAAAAAAAACGCAUAUACAUCUACAUCACCUCCAAUUUGAUUAGACCAAUUUGAAUGUUCAUAAGUUAUUAAAGUUUAUUUCAUAAUUACUAGAUAAAAGAUAUAAUUCCCUUAAACAUAAAUUAAAGAACUCAGAAUGAUUUUCAUAAUAGGCUUUACAUUAGAUGAGAACCAUCUGACAAUUAAACAUGGUAUUUAGUUAUCAAAUCAGAAAACAAGUGAUCAAGGAACUUGACACUGGUGAUUACAGGGAAACUUGUCAAGUAAAUGGUAUUCAUUGAAACGCAAUCAGGACUUACAGUGUGCACCAACUAGUCCAGUAACAUCAACUCUAAACAUAACUUAACACCAGUAACAAGUAAUUAAGUCGCAUAAUUGUCAUCAGUUAUGCGAAUAAAGUUCUUAUAUCUAGCAACUGUUCAAAUAUUUAGCAAUGUAUUUGUGAUAUAUUAACUCUAAAAACAACAAGUAUUCUUGUUAAUAUAUAAAAUCACUUUUUAGAUUGUUGAAAAAUAUAGCAAUUAACAAGACGAAUAAUAUAGCAAAUUGGAACAACUUAGCUGAAAAACCGAGGUGUAGCAUAGCUACUGUCCUAAAAAGUGAUUUCGCCCCCACUGAUAAUAAUCACAGUACAUAUGGGCUGUCGGCGAUCACUCUCCAGGAUUCAACGUUGAAGUCUCCGAUCGUGUGUACUCACAGAAGGAGGCUUUGGACUUGUCUAUGUGGAUUCCCAAUUAACAGAGUAUAUAUUUGUGUAAGGAAGAAUAGAACAGAAUAGACUGUAUAGCGAUUUCUCACGUGUAAUUCUUGUCGGUCACCAUAUACAUAGCUUGAUCUGUUGUAGAUGUAGAUGCUUGCUUAUUUUCUCAACUCAACUAGCUGUUUUCUUCACUAACUUAAUUGGGCUCCAAAGAAAACCCAAAAGUGAUAAUGAGAAAGGAGUAUUACUUUACAAGCAAAACUAGGCCUAUUUAAUUGUAUUAGAAAAGCAGUUAUCAGUAGCUGAAGAGAGAGAAAACACGAUAAUGAUAUAUUGGUAUUCUACUAAGAAGAAUAAUUAUAAGAACGAUUAUUAGAACGUUAUUGCUUACGCUAAAUAAAUGUUGCAACGGGGGUUACAAAAAACGGCUAGGAAAUUAACUCGAGGGUUACAGAAAAUACUAAUAUACACUAUGAGUGUUCCCAAAAUAACCGAUGUGGGGCUUUGAUAAAAAUCAUAAUUUUGAAGCAUAACCAACACAAAUCUCAUUUUAUUUAAUAAAUUGCUCCUACCAUUUUGCUUACAUAUAAUAAAUAUAUAAUACUAAUAUAUUUAUUAAACAUAAACAUCACUUAUUACGUAGUUCUUACUCAUCUGUGCAAUAUAAUAUACACAACAUAUCAUUUAAUAAGAAUUUUCUUUGUUUAAUUCUUAUUUAACUAUUACCCAAAAAUUUGGGUUAUCACAAUAUUUCCCUUUAUAAGGAUUUCGUUCCCGGAAUCACAAUAUCGAAUCAUUCUUAAUCGUUUUAGAUCUUAUUCUUUCUCGUAACCUUAUCGUUGAAUCAUUUCAACGUAUCAUUUCCUUAGAUUUUUCUUAAAAAUUUUAAAUAAAUCCUCUAUUUCCACUCUAGGUUUUAAACUUUAAGCCUUAAUUUAAUCAUUAAAGAUCUUCUAAAUUUUUGGGUUGUCACAGUUAUGAUAGUGUAGUACUAACUCAUGCUAAUAAUGCCUAGAAAUGAGUUAUUUUGGUAUUGAUACAUUUGCAAAGUUUCAAGCCUGUCAAAGUAUGUGAUGAUGAGUUUUAAGGAUCAUUUGAAGUUUAUAUGAAUGCUUAGAUAACCCUUGAAUCAUAGCUUGGAGUCUGUUUUUGUGAGUAAUAGCCAAAAAUGUGCUUAUAUAAACUCUAGAUUAGAGAACUGUUAAGAUCAAGGUCAGUACCUGAACUUUUGAGUCAGUGAGAAGACUAUAAUUGUCCAUAAUUAAAAUUUAAAAGUUGUUCAUUCACUUAGUUGAGGUCCAUAUUGAUUACUACUCAAUUUUCAUGUUUAAAGGCCAUGAAAAGUAAGCUUUAAAGUGUCAUCUAACACUUAAACAAAGCGAGGCCAAACCUGAACCUUGUAGGUAAAUUUUAAUAGCUAUAAUAUGGCAUAAGUAAACUACAUAAGUUAAAAAAACCAAGUCUAAACUGUUUUGAAUAUUGGACUUGUUAAAAAUCAUGUUUUAGGCCAAAAAUGGUCCGUUUUGGGUAAAUUUUAGUACCUGAAUUUGUAAGACUAUAAUGAACUCAUAUAAAGUUUCUAAUACAUGCUUGUGAUGAUUUCUAAUCAUUUCCAUGACCAAAGUUAGAAAGAAAACCAAGUUAAGAUCUAUUUUUCAAGCCUAAAAUGAGUUUUAAUAGGUCAAAAUUAGCUAGAUGGCUAAACAUUGAAAUGAUGAUAAAAGUAACCAUAGGAAACUAAAAUACACAUGUCUAGACUAUUAAAGUAGACAAAAAUGAAAAAAAUUUAAGAAGUGUCAAAAUUAGUUUUGGAAAAAAAGUGUUAAACUGUCCAGUUUGAGCCUCAGUUAAAGUAGGCCUAACUGAUAUGAAUGAGGAACCUAAACCCUUAUUAAAAUAUCUUGGUGUGUGGUCUAGAAGUAGGGCUAGAUGAUAGAGAUAAAAUAUUAACCAAGAAAUUCCAACAAAUCAUCAAAGUAGGCAAUAAACUCAAUUCUGCAACAAUUGGGUAGUAAAGUUACUCAACAAAUGGUAGAGUGAAAAACUCAGCAGGUGGUAGAGUGAAAAACUGGGCAAAUGGUAGAGUGGCUUAGCAAAUGUUAGAGUGGCUCUGCAGAUAGUAGAGUGGUUCAGUAGAUAGCAGAGUGGCUCAGCAGAUAGUAGAGUGGUUCAGUAGAUGGUAGAGCGGAAAACUCAGCAGAUGAUAGAGUAAAAAACUCUGCAAAUAGUAGAGUGAAAAACUUAACAAAUAUUAGAGUGAGAACUCUAAAAAUCGUAGAGUGGUCUCUAAAAAUUAUAAAGUGAACUCUGAAAAUAGUAGAAUGACUCUCAAAAUCGUAGAGUGAACUCUAAAAGCCGUAGAGUGAACUCUAAAAGUCGUAGAGUGACUCUCAAAAUCGUAGAGUGAAAAUUGUAGUGCAAAAAUAGUAAAGUGCAGAUAAUAGAGUGAAAAUGGGUAAACACCCUAGUUUGUGCCCAGAUUUGGUUAACUUCCAUAACGAAAUUUAAGAAACCAAACUCAUGGCAAACUAAUAUGAUAUAUGAUCUAAAUGCUUGCACAAAUAAAAGAUCAAAUAUGCUAACCAUAAAGUCAAAAAACAUUAUAAAAGUGGCCUAAAAAUUCACUUUUGCUGCAGUUAGUAGUAGAGUGGAAAUGUUAAACACCCAUUUUGAGGCACUGCCUUAAAAAGCCUUAAGAGGUUGUUUCAGUUAACUAACUAUGGAAUAAAACACUAUAAUGUAUGGUUUAAAAUCUUGUUCAAACUUAGAAGUCAAAAUCUCAUUACAAAGAUUCAUAAAAAUUCCUAAAGUACCCUAAAAAUCAUAUUUUUUAUUUUUGAAUAAUGAUGGAAUAAUGGGAUUUGAUUCCUGGAAAUGUCACAGCAUAACGUAAGAUCAUAUUUGAAGUGUAUAAUGAUCAAUGAUUUGUAUUAUGUUAUGAUUGGACUAAAAUGAGUAUAUUUCAGAAUGUAUAAGAACUAAGUACGUAAUGUAUACUAUGUGAGUAUGAUCACAAAGUGAUGAACAAAGGCUAUAUGUCUAAUCUAAGUCUAAGGAACUUAGAUGAGUAAGGUUUAACCAAGUAUGGUAUGUUGUAAUGGUUUGAUACACACACAGUAAACUAUAAGUGCAAUAAACUAGCACAUGUGGUGAUGAAAGGGAAAUAAAAAUGAGUUAUAUAAAUAACAAAGUUGAAUAUAAAAAUGGUAAAAGGACAAUAUAAGUAAAAGUAGGUUAUUAAAGUAAGGUUAACCAUGAGAUCAAGUAUUGGUGAUGUUUAUUAUCAAUCUCACAUACCUUAUAGGUCAUGAAAAGGAACACGACAGGUUAACGGUAAAACGCCGGUACAGACAAGUUUUUCAGAACUUAUUUUUAUACAUGAACUUGUUAAUUGUUAUGUGCACAGAUUUCCUGUAUUAUAUGUACUUCUUGUGAAUAAUUUGAGAUGUACACUAUGUAUUAUACUGUGAUAUAAAUCUAUUGAAUCAAGUUAAUGAUUGAUGUGGAUUGAGUUAUGAAAACUCAGUAUAUUCAUGAUAUGAGAUACAUGAUAAGCAUGAAGCAGAUAUAAUUGUUGAGUAUGAACAUUAUGAUGGUUGAAUAAAUGCAAAGUAUGAGAAACACGAAUUAUGUAUAAACUGUGGAGCAUGAACAAUUUAAAGUGUAUUUAAAAUGUGGUUGCUCACCCUUGCUAUAAAUAAUUGUUUUAAGAUAAACCAGAGAGGAUCGAAGUAUUCAGGAUAGACACAGGAAAAAAGGAAAAAAUAUUGAUUGAAGUUGUUUGUUUAGUUCUAGCUAUGCUAGAGAACAUUCAUAUGACAUACUAUAAUUGUUUAAUCAAAUAACAUUGUAUAGAAGAAUAGUUAAGUCUAGUUGUGAGUUCAUGGAUACUUAAAAUCCAAUAUCUUUAAGUGAAACAUAUUAUUUAUAACUUGAACUGUAUAAUUUAAAUCAAUAUAAUUUAAAAGUGUAAUAUUAGGUUGUAAAGGUUACAGAUUCUGAAAAUGGAAAGAAUUAAUGUAUUAAUUGGUAUCAAAGCGAGAUUGUAUUAAUUAUUUUAUGAAUAAAGGUUAUAAUCAUAUGAAGGUUGUAUAGUAAUGCACCAGGUCCGAGGUAACAGGUACCCGGAUUUGGGGGCGUUACAUGAUCCAUAUCAAAAUGCUAUUUAUGAACAUAGAGUUCAACUUCUGACUUUAAUCAUUACCUGGAUAUUCGCAACGUAAUCCAACAUCUACAUACUCACUAUACACCACCUUUUAUACACUAUUGUCAUCACAUAAAUCUACUUUACAAAAAAUGAUAAAGUUAUAUUUCAUGUUCACACGAAUACUUUUAGCCAACAUCCAUCUAUUGGACAACUCAAAGUUUAUACAAUUCAAUAAAACUAUGUUACAACAUGUAGCAUCGACUUGGUAUAAACUAAAUUUGAUAAAACAAUACGCCUUUACUAAGCAUGUCGUAUUUGGAACCUUCGCUGCUAUAAUUUCUGAUAAAUCAACUUUCAUCUGCAAAUUUUAUAUUUUACAAUGUUGAGCAAAACGACCAAGCAAGUCUAACAGUUUUCAUGCAUCACGUUUCAUAUAUACUAUGCAUUUCAAUCAUGCAUCAUAUAGCUCAUGUUAUGCAUUUUAUACAUGCAUCAUAAAUCUUAUGCAAUGCAUUUACAUAUGCUUCACACAUCUCAUAAUAUGCAUCUUCAUAUGCGUACUUUCAAUUUCAUCAUAUUAUUUUUAGAUCAUACUUCACAUGUUACCAAACGUAACAUUUGUCACAUAUCUCCAUUCACAUAUCACAAACAAAUUGAGUUCCAUAACUCAAUUAACUUUAGUCAUAAUUUGACUUUAGCGAUUCGUAUAACAUUGACAUUCAAAAACAUGAAUUUUAACAUAUUCACAAGGAUUUCAUCAUAAUGCGAUAACAAUUGCACAUAACUAACAUCGAGUUCACAUAAUACAAGCAAACUGAAAAAUUUGUCUUUAUUGCAAAUUGCUUCCGGGUCUACUUGAUAUCGCGUACUCAAAGCAAUGUUAUCUCUGUCAGGAAUAUGCAUGAGAAUGUUAUUCCUUAUUUAUAUAAUUAAAUGAUGAAGAUGAUGAAGUUAAUGAAUGAAUAUGCAAAUGUGUUUGCAUUGAUAAAAGUCGUAAAGUCCUUAAUAGAUGAUAGACAAUACGGACAAUGACUUAGAUUGAAAUGAUCAAAUAUGUUAGGUUGAUCGAAUAUGAAUGAAUAGUUUUGUAAAAGUCCUUCAAAAGAUCAUGAUGUACAAGGACUAUGAAUAGAAAGAUCAAACUUGUUAGGUUGAUCUUAUGAAGUAUAAUAGAUAGGCAUGUUUGAUCGAAUAACGCUGAAUCAGUCACUAUAGUCUGCCAAGAAAGUAAAACAAGAAUCGUAAGCCUCACUCGAUAUUGCUGAAGCCAGCUAAGAGAUUGUUGAAGCCAAGAAAGAAUCGCAGUCUGUCAAAGAAAGUCACUCUCGAGAUCGUAGAGACAGUUUGCUGAGUGUCUGCCGAGCCAAGUGAAGAAUCGCAAGCUUCGCUCAAAAUCAUGGAAUCUACAAGUCAUCACCAAUGAAAAUCGUAGUCAUUUAAGUGCUCGUAAUACUAAAGUAGAAUCGUAGAGCACUCUACGAUUCUCAACAGAUGAACAAUCCUGAAGUGCAUACAUAGAUCUCAUCCUCUGAUAAGUGUAAUCAUGUUUCAGUAUGCAAUCUACUUGAAGAAUAUCAGAAAGCAUUCUCUGAAUGGCCGGAAAGUAAACAGAAGAUCAAAACACCAACUUUAUAUAUAGCAAGGCUAAUAGAGAAUUGAAAAGCUAUUCAGAAAGAGUCUCAUCAGAAGACAACGAUCGUAGUGCUUACCAAACAGCAAAAGGGUCUGUCAAAGAAACUACAAAGAUAAUGGUAAACCUGCCACAGAGUAAGUAGAAGACAAACUAGGAGGAUGUCAAUGCUCAGCCUCACCAUGGAGUAUGAUCAAGAGAUCAUAAGGCUGAAGAUUAAAGAAGCUGAGCAUAACUAAUCAAAAGGGAUAUGCAAACCAAAGUGUCAAAGCAGUCAUUCAACUUGUUAGUUCUUGAAGCAAGGCAAGACAAGCAUGAUCGUAGAACAGACUGCAAGAGCAAAGUACAAGAUGGUAAAGCGUUGAGCACUCUCAGAAUCAUAAGAGAUGUCAAGGUCAAAUCAUCCUACGAUUUCCACAGACAAGCUAUGACCAAGUAAUCGUAGAGUUCAUAAAGGUCAACAUCAACAUCGUAGAGGGCGUUUGUCUGAUGAGUGAGAAUGUUUAAACAAAGAAGACCGACAUUCAAACGUUGUGAAUUGAGGAUCCCGAUAUACUCUCCAAACAUCCUUGAUGUAAAUCAAGGAAACAAAAAAAAGGGUGACUAGCUACUAAUCUGCUGAAGGUGACGUUUCAAAAGUGUUAGGUGAUAAAGCAGACUGUUGUGUCAGGCAAGUCAAAAAGGAGUUGUCACAUCAACUCAGUAUGUCUACAUCAAAGAUUUCAGAAUAGCUACAACAUUAAAUGCUCCAAAUAAAGCUCUUCAACGGAAGACUCCCAUCGACUAUGUUCCAACGAGAAGAUAAUAGAUGAAUCUAAAAAUAGCUGAAGCUUCAAAGAAGACAUAGUUAUUGACUUGAGAUGAAGUAAGUCAUAUAGAGUUUAAUAGAGAAAAGGUCUCAGUGAGAGUGAGACCACCACAGAAGAGUGAAUCAUAACUAAUGCGAGUCUUACAAUGAAAAAGCCUCACUCAAUACAAAGGACUAUGACAACGAAGUGACAUCUAUACUGAGAGCCGGAAGGCCAAGAAGAAAACAACUAGAGUGGCAGAUCAGAAAGCAAAAUACUUGAGUCACUCUACGUUUCACCAUGAACACACUGAGCUGAAGAUAAGAAGAUACAGAGCCGAAUCUGUUCACAAAACAACUAGUGUUCAAAGACGGCUAAGUACCUAAAAAAGACAAGUUGAUAUGAAAAGGCUUAGCAAUACCUCAACGGUAACAAUGUGCAAUGUUGAAUAUCAGAUGAAGACAAACAUCAACAACACAAAGAACAACAGCACCAAGGGAAGAAUCAGACUGCCAAUUACCAAUAAGAUGUCAAGUUGAAUGUACAUCUUAGCAGUCUAUUAGAUGUGAUCAAGUACUAAUGUUGAAUGCCUAAUGAUCACAAGAAGUCGCUAAGUACCAGAAGAUGAACAAGCUAAAUGUCAUCUUAGCAGCUCAACAACAACAAACAACCACUCAAGCAACCAGGGCCUGCAGGGUCCUUGUCUUAGUGACUAAACCAAAGUCAAGUCUGUUGAGCUUGCUGAGUACCGGAGGGUACAAGAGAUUCUAAGUCUGUCGAGCUUAGUCUACAGUUUUCAAGGCUGCUGGUCUUGAAGGAAUCUUAGUGAUUCGAAGUUAAUCAAAUCCUUAGUGGAAUUGCCUGCUUGUUGAAGCAGAAGAGUGGAUUAGGAGCAUUCAGUCUCUGAACCACUUACAACCUCUGGUGUAAUUUACUUUACGUCAUUUACACUCAGUACUAUAACUGUUAUAUCUGCUUGCAACUAAUUUAAUAUUAGAACUGCGUUUAAUGUUAUAUUCUUGAAGGGGAUCUUAAUUUAUUCUGAUGUGCAUAAAUUGAUUCCUCUAUCAUUAUCUGUUUAUCACUUAUCUAGAUAAAAGAAAAAGAAAAAUGUUUAAGGAUCUAUUCAACCCCCCUUCUAGAUCUAUUGUGUGCCCCCGGGAACUAACAAUCUCGUAUCGCACCUAUAUAGCAUACAUAAGGUUGUUGUGUAAGUUAAUGCAUUUAUAUCUCAUGAACUUUUGACUUAACUUUGUAUUUUUCAAGCUUAGUAAUUCAGUCUUAACUUUAUCAAAUAUAUUAGAUUUAUUUAUAUUAUUAUAGGUCAAACUACACUAUUAAAUGUCCAAUUAUGCCAUCAUAUGUCAUAAUAUAUCAGUCCUCCAAGUAUCGUUUUAAAAAGAAUUAUAAAACUCGUUUGACCUAUUUUAAUCGUUAAUGAACCUUGUUUAUCGUUUAAUCAUAAUUUCUUCGUUUCUUAUCCGUUUUGGUUUAUUCUUACGCCAAAUUAAAGCUUAUUGCAUCUACUUUAACAUCAUAUAGGCUCUGAUUUCAGUCCUACAGAAAAUUGCCCAAAGUUGCUGCCCAGAAUCUGUCUAAAUUCUAGAAAGGUUGAAUGACACUACUGUCCCUCUAAGUUGCCACCCACUUUCUAAGUCGUCCCUAAAGUUCAUGAAUUUUUGUCAAUUAGAUCCUUAAAGUAACAUUUUGUUGGCGUUCCAGUUUCUUCAGCCUAAUUUAACCUCAACCCGACCCAUUUUGACCCAACCCAGUUUGACCCAACCUAAAAUUCUAAUAUUUAAAAUAUAAAUUAUUUUAAAAAUAAUAAUUAUAUUUAACAUUUAAAAUAUAUAUAUUUAAUAUUUUAAAAUAAAUUAUUAUAUUUAAAAUAAUAAUAAUUUUAAUAUUUUAAAAUAAAAAAAAUUAUUAAAAAUAGCUAAUUUUGAUAUUUAAAAAUAAAAUAUUAGUUUUUCAAAAAAUUAAAUAAUAAUUAUAUUUAAUAUUUUUUUAAAUAAUUUUAAAAUAAAAAUUAUUGUCAAUAUUUUAAAAUAAUAAUUAUUUUUUAUAUUUAUAAUAAAAUAUUAUUUUUAAAAAGUUAUAAAGAUAAUUAUUAUUAUAAGGAAAAAUAUUAGAAAAUUAUAUUUUUUUUCAAAAAUGAGUAAAGUUUCAAAAAAUAUAGAUUCAAAAAAAUUACAUAAGAAAAUAAAACUUUAUGUUUUAAAAAUAAAUUAAUUUUUUUUUCAUUUUUUAUGUAAAAUUUAUUUUUAGAAUUUUUUUUAUUAUCUUUAAAAUUACUAUAUGUAUUCUUAAUAUUAGAAUUUUUAGAAACAAAAACUAAAAAUAGAAAUUAAAAUAUAAAAACAGUAAAAGAUAAAUAAAAAGUUGAUUCAAAAAUUUUUAAAUAAAUUUUUUUUUAAAAAUAAUUAUUAUUUUCUGAAAUAAAAAAUUAUAAUUUUUUAAAAAAUAAUUAAAAACUUUAGGGAUCUAAUCUUAAUAUUAAAUUUAAUUAUUAUUUAAUUUUUUUAAAAACGAAUAUUUUAUUUUAAAAUAUUAAAUAUUUAUUUUAAAUGUUAAAUAUAAUUAUUAUUUUAAAAUUAUUUUUAAAAUAAUAUUAUAUUCUAAAAUAUUAAAAAAUUGGGUUGGGUCAAACUGGGUCGGAUUUGGUCAAAAUGGGUCCGAUUGAGGUCAAAAUGGGUUGAAAGAACGGAAACGCCAACAAAAUGCCACAUUAAUGACCUAACUGACGAAAAUUAAACUUUAGGAACGAAUUUGAAAGUGUGUGACAACUUGGAGGAAUAGAAGUGUCAUUCAACCUUCUAGAAAUUCACAUUUUUGUGUUUCUCGGGCUAGUAUUGUGAAUUUUUCUCAUUCAUUAUACAUCGGAUUAAAGCCAUUUUUGGAUAUGUUCUACCUCAUACUGCGUUGUAUCGUUGUAUUUUUAAAAAUAUAACAUGUAUGAAAAGAAUUUGGCAAGUCUUCGAAACACUGGCCCGAAAACAGCCCAUUCACAACAGUUUUAGACUUGGAAAUUUCCAGAUUUCUAGCAACUUUGUUAUUUUCCUACCUAAUUUGCGAUUUAGUAACUUGCACACCAUACAUCCGAUUUACUUCAAUUUUGGAUAUGUUUGAGAUGUUAAUACAUACUCCCUCCGUCCCAUAUUUAAAUGUCUUAAUUUCUUUUUUAGGAUGUUCCAAAAUAAAUGUCCUAUUUCUAUAUUAGUAACUAUAUUUGUCAUAUUUUUCCCCUUAUACCCUCAUAAUCUUUUUACUCGACUUAAUUUUAUUGGAAAUUGAAUAAAUGUGAAAAUAUUUAUAUUGGGAACUGGUGUAUAGUAUACUACUUUCAUUCUAACAUCUCUUUUUAUUUUAUGUACUUAUUGGGAAUGUGAGAGUUACAAAAAAAAUCUAGAUAAUUAAAUGAUGUGGGAAAGUAAUUAUUGGGGUCAUAGAAAAGUGAAGAAAUACUUUAAUUAAUAAGUAAUUAAAAGGGUAACUUAGGUAAAAGAAAAUUGUAUUAAUCAACUUGCCGAAACAAAUUAGGACAUUUAUUUUGGGACAGAAGGAGUAGUAUUUUAGAAAAAUACUAAUUUCCCAAAAUGAAUUCUCUAAGGCAUACUUAUAGAGGUUCAAAGUUCCCAGUUCUUCACAAAUUUUAGCUUGAAACUAAUUUGGUAAAAUCUUUUGAUUUCACUUUUAAACUGAAUUUAAAUCAUUCACAUGACUCAAGCUAUAUAUCUUGAAUUUCACAUUUAAAUAUCUCUUAGCUUCAAGCUUUGCUCAAAUCUCAAAUUUUAAGCAUUAAACCUCUUUGAGGUAUUUUAUCAAGCAUCUUACAUUCAUAGUCUAAAUUUCUUGAUUUCAUACAUGUUUAGGCAUGGUCUAGCCCUAAAAUUUUCAACCUUUUCACUCUAGAGUUCAUUUACUAUUUUUAUCAUACCAAUUCACAACUAAGCACAUCAAUAUAUAGCAACAAUCAACUAUUCUCUAUCUCAAUUCAUGAACUUAGUAAAUAAAACUAACUUACCUCUUUGUAGCUUGAUGUUAUGAUCAAAUCCUUGCUCCAACUUGAAAUUAGUUGAGUUAAAUUCUUCUUUUGGACUGUACCUUACUCAAUUUCUCUUCAAUUUCAGUUACCAACUUCAAUCUUUAGAGAAUUUGAUGAAUACUCAUGUUUUGGUAGUAGAGAUAUAUAUAAAAACAUAAACAAUUGUAGAAUAAGAUAUGGAACUUGAACUGAGAACUGGACUUAGAAGAGAUGGAUGGAAGAGGAGUAUGAGAAUUGUGAUUGCUGAAAAUUGGGUAUAUGCUCCUUAGUCUCUCUCUCCCACUAUCGGACCAAGUUUAGCUUUCUCAUGCUUAGUGUCCUUAAUUGGUUUAGAAAUUAGAAUAAUGACACCUCCUGCUUUCCUAAUGUGACUCAGCAACUAGCCCUCUCCCUUUUCAAUUCUGAGUACAUUUGGUUCAACU